GAUACUGCUGAGGCAAGAAAAAACGUGCUGAGGGUCAAUAGACUACCGACACAACUUCCGAAUGAAAUACAUGCAGGCUUCCCUCUGACAUGUCCUGACUGGGACCCUAACAGGCCUGAAGAGCCUCUUACUGACUGAGAGAGAGCAGUUUGCACCCCCCUGCUAUCCUGAAUCCUGCCACCUUGCUGCCGGAAGCUAGCGACUCUCUACCAAUGCAACAGUGUAUGGACAUCCUGGCAGAAGAAACCAGAACUAAGAAAGACCUCACUGACCAGCAAUGGCCAGGCUGCCACAACUGGUACACAGCUUUUUUGUUGAAGGGUGGGCCAAAGCCUUCCGCACUAAGAAGGAGACCACCACUGUCAUGGCAAAGAAGAUAUUAGAGGAAAAUUUCCCAAGAUUUGGCAUCCCUAAGGUACUUUCGUCAGACAAUGGCCCCUUCUUCGUUGCCCAGGUCAUGAAGGAAGUGUGAGAAGUAUCAAGUCUCCAGUCUCUGUUAGAUUAUGAAGGUUAAGAUGAAUCACCCUUAUUUCAGGAAGCCAGAGACUUAUACACAGAAGGAAAGAAGACUACACUGCCAGCAGAGCUUGUGAUGUGGAUGAAAGCGAGGCCAGGAAUGGCUAGGCUGUUGGACCUGGUCUACCUCUACCACUGGGAAGCUCCAAGCAGAUACAUACCACAGGCAGACUUCAGUGACUCUCUUUUUAGCAGGGGAUCCUCAGUGGCUCAGACACUGGUUGUGGAUCGUCCUUCUCCUGCAUGACUUGUUUUCCCAUACUGCUCUUUUGAACAAGUAAUAAAGUGUUCCACACUCAUUUAACCCUGUCCAGUUUCACUUGGACUGAGGAAUAACUAAAUAGUAUUAUAUAACAAGACUCUGAAGUGAUAUAGACCUAGCAUGUGCAUUUUAGAGCCUUCCUAGAGUGAUGGGGAGUAUUACCAGCUCAGCUUUGAAUUCUUUCUAGAAGGCAAGAUAGAUAACCAGUUAUAUUCAUGUUCCUCUAACAGACACUUCUUCAUAAUAUAAUAAGUCUUAUAAGUGAAACUAAAGAUUCCUUACCCUCAAAAAAUAUUUAUUGAACAGCUACUAUAUGUUUUACCCAUUCUGGUUACUUAUUAUAAAGAUGUAAACACACACAAAAUGAAAUAUCAGCCUGCAGAAAUCUUUCUGUCUGAUUAAAUUGUAACAGCUUAGCAUCCUGGCAAUUAGUUUAUCAGAGAAAACAAAAAUCUUAACAGUUAUAAUAACAGUGUAAGCUGACUUGGUGAGCAGAUGAGAUAGUUUUAAGUUAGUGUAAAUGGCCAAAAUGAAGGCAUUCUAAAGAGACAUGACCCACUUAAUCUAUCAGGUCACUGAAAUAAUGGACAUAAGAGGAAUGAAAAUUCCACUACAAAUCCCAAAACUGGGAGAAGGGAAAGGAGCCAGCCAGAAGGAGAAAAUGUCUCUUAGAAAGGGAAAGAAUAUGAACCAAGUUCUAAUAUUUUCUCAUACCACCUUAGAAGAACUGAAGCCCUGAUAAUGUUGAGACAAUGAUGGCUGGGACACCACCUGACCCAGCCUGCUGAGAUGUUCUUGACCCUGCUCUUCUAUGUAAACUUUAGUCUGUUUUUGACCUGGAAAAUAGACUUGAGCAGCACAUUGCAGCACUUUGUCUCCCCAAUAUUCCCACACUAAAUAAACUUUAUUUUCUGCUUUUAAUUUAAAUUUAUUAAAUUUUGGAAUCUAAAAUCCCUCAAAUCUUUAUUAUCACUAAUUUAUGCCAAAUUUGACAACUGUCUUGGUGCUUUGUAUAUAUGUACAUGCACAUUUUGUGCACAAAUGUGUGUUUUUAUGUGCACGUGUGUGUGUGUGUGUGUGUGUGUGUGUGUGUGUGUGUGUGUGUGUGUGUGUUUGUAUACAUGCAGUUCUGGUAUGAAGAAUGGACUGAUUUAG